rnacentral:rRNA from 1 species
UACGAAGGGGGCUAGCGUUGCUCGGAAUUACUGGGCGUAAAGGGCGCGCAGGCGGCUCUGCAAGUCAGAUGUGAAAGCCCCGGGCUUAACCUGGGAACUGCAUUUGAUACUCUAGAGCUUGAGUACGGGAGAGGAGAGUGGAAUUCCCAGUGUAGAGGUGAAAUUCGUAGAUAUUGGGAAGAACACCGGUGGCGAAGGCGGCUCUCUGGACCGUAACUGACGCCGAGGCGCGAAAGCGUGGGGAGCAAACAGG